UGGGGAAUAUUGCACAAUGGGCGCAAGCCUGAUGCAGCGACGCCGCGUGGGGGAUGACGGCCUUCGGGUUGUAAACUCCUUUCGCUAGGGACGAAGCUUUUUGUGACGGUACCUAGAUAAGAAGCACCGGCUAACUACGUGCCAGCAGCCGCGGGAAUACGUAGGGUGCGAGCGUUGUCCGGAAUUACUGGGCGUAAAGGGCUCGUAGGUGGUUUGUCGCGUCGUCUGUGAAAUUCCGGGGCUUAACUCCGGGCGUGCAGGCGAUACGGGCAUAACUUGAGUACUGUAGGGGUAACUGGAAUUCCUGGUGUAGCGGUGAAAUGCGCAGAUAUCAGGAGGAACACCGAUGGCGAAGGCAGGGUACUGGGCAGUUACUGACGCUGAGGAGCGAAAGCAUGGGUAGCGAACAGG
rnacentral:rRNA from 1 species